CACGUAGUUAGCCGUGGCUUUCUGAUUAGGUACCGUCAAGAUGUGCACAGUUACUUACACAUUUGUUCUUCCCUAAUAACAGAGUUUUACGAGCCGAAACCCUUCAUCACUCACGCGGCGUUGCUCCGUCAGGCUUUCGCCCAUUGCGGAAGAUUCCCUACUGCUGCCUCCGUAGGAGUCUGGACCGUGUCUCAGUUCCAGUGUGGCCGAUCACCCUCUCAGGUCGGCUACGUAUCGUCGCCUUGGUAAGCCGUUACCUUACCAACUAGCUAAUACGGCGCGGGUCCAUCUAUAAGUGAUAGCAAAACCAUCUUUCACUUUAGAACCAUGCGGUUCUAAAUGUUAUCCGGUAUUAGCUCCGGUUUCCCGAAGUUAUCCCAGUCUUAUAGGUAGGUUACCCACGUGUUAACUCACCCGUCGCCGCUAACUUCAAAGGAGCCAAAGCCUCCUUAUCUGUUCGCUCGACUUGCAUGUAUUACGGCACGGUCCGCCGAGUCCGUUUCAGUUCCCUAGGAGUACCCGAGGUACUCGAAAACUUCGUCCUUA
rnacentral:rRNA from 1 species